rnacentral:rRNA from 1 species
GACGAACGCUGGCGGCGUGCUUAACACAUGCAAGUCGAACGAAGUGGCGAACGGGUGAGUAACGCGUAAUCAACCUGCCCUUCAGGGGGGGAUAACAGUUGGAAACGACUGCUAAUACCGCAUACUGAAGGAGGGGAUUGCGUCUGAUUAGCUCGUUGGAGGGGUAACGGCCCACCAAGGCGAUGAUCAGUAGGCGGGCUGAGAGGGUGAACGGCACAAAUGGGACUGGGACACGGCCCAGGCUCCUACGGGGGGCAGCAGUGGGGAAUUUUCCGCAAUUGACGAAAGUCUGACGGAGCAACGCCGCGGUAGUGAUGACGGGCUUCGGGUUGUAAAGCUCUGUUAAUCGGGACGCGGUACCGGAAUAGAAAGCCACGGCUAACUACGUGCCAGCAGCCGCGGUAAUUC